GUGCUUGCUUGGACAGCACAUAUACUAAAAUUGGAAUAAUACGGAGAAGAUUAACAUGGCCCCAUGCAAGGAUGACAUGCAAAUCUGUGAAGCGUUCCAUAUUAAA
ensembl:snRNA U6 U6 spliceosomal RNA